AAUGAACGUUGGCGGCAUGGAUUAGGCAUGCAAGUCGCACGAGAUUAACACUUUGCUUGCAUUGAGUUAUGACAGUGGCGAAAGGGAGAGUAACGCGUAGUUACAUGCCCUGGGGACCGGGAUAGUGUUGGGAAACUGGCAGUAAUACCGGAUAACAUCUACGGAUCAAAUGGUGUGAUUCCGCCCUAGGAUUGGACUGCGUACUAUUAGCUUGUUGGCGGGGUAAUGGCCCACCAAGGCUGCGAUGGUUACCGGGUGUGAGAGCAUGGCCCGGCUCACUGGGACUGAGACACUGCCCAGACAUCUACGGAUGGCUGCAGUCGAGAAUCUUUGUCAAUGGGGGAAACCCUGAACAAGCGAUGCCGCGUGCGGGAUGAAGGCCUUCGGGUUGUAAACCGCUGUCAGUUGUUAGGAAAUCCAUGGUGGUCAUCCAUCAUGGUUGACCGAUCUUCAGAGGAAGGACGGGCUAAGUUCG
rnacentral:rRNA from 1 species